rnacentral:rRNA from 1 species
ACCAGCGGAGGGAUCAUUACCGAGUUUACAACUCCCAAACCCAAUGUGAACGUUACCAAACUGUUGCCUCGGCGGGAUCUCUGCCCCGGGUGCGUCGCAGCCCCGGACCAAGGCGCCCGCCGGAGGACCAACCUAAAACUCUUAUUGUAUACCCCCUCGCGGGUUUUUUUUUAUAAUCUGAGCCUUCUCGGCGCCUCUCGUAGGCGUUUCGAAAAUGAAUCAAAACUUUCAACAACGGAUCUCUUGGUUCUGGCAUCGAUGAAGAACGCAGCGAAAUGCGAUAAGUAAUGUGAAUUGCAGAAUUCAGUGAAUCAUCGAAUCUUUGAACGCACAUUGCGCCCGCCAGUAUUCUGGCGGGCAUGCCUGUCCGAGCGUCAUUUCAACCCUCGAACCCCUCCGGGGGGUCGGCGUUGGGGAUCGGCCCUCCCUUAGCGGGUGGCCGUCUCCGAAAUACUGUGGCGGUCUCGCCGCAGCCUCUCCUGCGCAGUAGUUUGCACACUCGCAUCGGGAGCGCGGCGCGUCCACAGCCGUUAAACACCCAACUUCUGAAAUGUGACCUCGAU